GGGGCUAUAGCUCAGCUGGGAGAGCGCUUGAAUGGCAUUCAAGAGGCCAGCGGUUCGAUCCCGCUUAGCUCCACCA
rnacentral:tRNA from 1 species